ACUUUCAUUUUCAUAUUUGUUCAAGUUUGAUUCUACACUCCUAUCAUACUAAUCUUUUUUCUUCUAAUAAUGCCUGCAACAACACGUUCCCUUGCAUCCAUCUAUGAUGUGUUCCUCAGCUUCAGAGGUUUAGACACACGCCAUGGUUUCACUGGCAAUCUCUACAAAGCUCUUGAUGACAGGGGAAUCUACACUUUCAUUGAUGAUCAGGAGCUUCCCAGAGGAGACCAAAUAACACCUGCACUUUCCAAGGCAAUUCAAGAGUCCAGGAUUGCUAUUACUGUGCUUUCUGAAAACUAUGCUUCUUCCUCGUUUUGUUUAGAUGAACUUGUAACCAUCCUUCACUGCAAGAGUGAAGGGCUGUUGGUUAUACCGGUCUUUUAUAAGGUAGAUCCUUCUGAUGUCAGACACCAGAAAGGUAGUUAUGGAGAAGCAAUGGCUAAGCAUCAGAAGAGCUUCAAAGCUAAGAAGGAGAAGCUGCAGAAAUGGAGGAUGGCUUUGCAACAAGUAGCUGACUUGUCUGACUAUCAUUUCAAAGAUGGAGAUGCAUAUGAAUACAAGUUUAUUGGGAGUAUUGUUGAGGAGCUCUCUAGGAAGAUUAGUCGUGCUUCUUUACAUGUUGCGGAUUAUCCAGUUGGUCUAGAGUCACCAGUGACAGAGGUAAUGAAGCGUUUGGAGUUGGAUCCGAUGAUGUCCACAUCAUAGGAAUCCAUGGAAUGGGCAGGUUAGGAAAAACAACACUUGCUCUGGCAGUUCAUAAUUUGAUUGCUCUCCAUUUUGAUGAAUCCUGUUUUCUUCAAAACGUGAGAGAAGAAUCAAAUAAACAUGGGUUAAAACACCUUCAAAGCAUCCUUCUUUCAAAAUUACUUGGUGAGAAGGGCAUCACCUUAACAAGUUGGCAAGAAGGAGCUUCAAUGAUACAACAUAGGCUCCGAAGAAAGAAGGUUCUCUUGAUUUUAGACGAUGUUGACAAGCGCGAGCAAUUAAAGGUUAUUGUUGGAAGAUCUGAUUGGUUUGGUCCCGGUAGCAGAGUCAUCAUUACCACUCGGGACAAACAUCUGCUAAAACAUCACGAGGUUGAAAGAACUUAUGAGGUGAAGGUUUUGAAUCAGAGUGCUGCUCUUCAAUUGCUUACUUGGAAUGCUUUUAGAAGAGAAAAAAUUGAUCCAAGUUAUGAGGACGUCUUGUAUCGUGUAGUAACUUAUGCUUCUGGCCUUCCAUUGGCUUUGGAAGUCAUAGGUUCCAACUUGUUUGGAAAAACUGUAGCAGAAUGGGAAUCUGCUAUGGAACAUUAUAAAAGAAUUCCCAGUGAUGAAAUCCUAGAGAUUCUAAAAGUAAGCUUUGAUGCUUUGGGAGAAGAACAAAAGAAUGUUUUUCUUGACCUUGCUUGUUGCUUGAAAGGGUAUAAAUGGACAGAGGUUGAUGAUAUACUCCGUGCUCUUUAUGGUAACUGCAAGAAGCAUCAUCUUGGGGUGUUGGUUGAAAAAUCUCUCAUAAAGCUUGACUGCUAUGAUAGUGGUACUGUUGAAAUGCACGACCUGAUUCAGGACAUGGGUAGAGAAAUUGAGCGGCAGAGAUCACCCAAAGAGCCCGGGAAGUGCAAGAGAUUAUGGUUACCAAAAGAUAUAAUUCAAGUUUUAAAACACAACACGGGAACUAGUGAAAUUGAAAUCAUAUGUCUGGAUUUCUCCAUAUCUGACAAAAGAAGAAACAGUGGAAUGGAAUGAAAACGCCUUCAUGAAGAUGGAAAACCUUAAAAUACUUAUUAUUAGAAAUGGCAAAUUUUCCAAAGGUCCCAAUUAUUUUCCAGAAGGUUUGAGAGUACUGGAAUGGCACAGAUAUCCUUCAAAUUGUUUACCAUCUAACUUUCAUCCGAACAACCUUCUUAUAUGCAAGUUACCCGACAGUUCCAUUAAGUCAUUUGAGUUCCAUGGCUCAUCGAAGAAGUUGGGGCAUCUAACAGUUUUGAAUUUUGACCAGUGCAAAUUUUUAACACAGAUACCUGAUGUAUCUGAUCUCCCAAAUUUGAGGGAACUUUCAUUUGAAGAGUGUGAGAGUUUAGUUGCAGUUGAUGACUCAAUUGGUUUUCUGAAUAAACUUAAAAUAUUGAAUGCUAAAGGUUGCAGCAAGCUUACGAGUUUUCCGCCUCUCAACUUGACCUCUCUUGAAACACUUGAACUUUCUGGGUGUUCCAGUCUUGAGUAUUUUCCAGAAAUAUUAGGAGAGAUGAAAAACAUAAAGAUACUUUAUUUGAUUGACCUUCCCAUAAAAGAAUUGCCAUUUUCAUUUCAAAAUCUUAUUGGACUCAGUGAGAUAAACCUGAAUAGGUGUGGAAUUGUUCAGUUACGAUCUAGCUUAGCCAUGAUGCCCGAACUGUCUGCAUUCUACAUUGCAGAUUGCAACAGGUGGCAAUGGGUAGAAUCGGAAGAAGGUGAAGAAAAAGUGGACUCAAUACAAUAUUCAAAGGCACGUCAGUUUCGUGCCAUAAACUGCAAUCUAUGUGAUGAUUUUUUUUUAACAGGUUCCAAGAGGUUUACUCAUGUAGAAUAUUUAGAUCUAUCGGGGAAUAAUUUCACAAUCCUUCCUGAAUUCUUCAAAGAAUUGCAAUUUUUAAGAGCACUUAUGGUGAGUGAUUGCGAGCAUCUUCAGGAAAUUAGAGGGCUUCCACCAAACUUAGAGUUUUUCGAUGCAAGAAACUGUGCAUCCUUGACUUCCUCGAGUAAAAGCAUGCUUUUAAAUCAGAAACUGCAUGAGGCUGGAGGAACAAACUUUAUGAUUCCAGGAACAAGAAUACCAGAGUGGUUGGAUCAGCAAAGCAGUGGACAUUCAAGUUCUUUCUGGUUUCGUAAUAAAUUCCCUGCCAAACUUCUUUGUCUUGUUAUUGCACCUGUGUCUACUGGGAUUGGUGUCAAAGCAAAGGUGUUCAUCAAUGGAAAAAUUCUAAAACUUCCAUUCUUUUAUGGAAGUAAGAAGAUACAAAGUAUGUUGGAAUUGGACCAUACAUAUAUCUUUGAUCUCCAACCGUUUGCUUUCAAAAAUAAUAUUAAUCGGUUUGAAGAAGCGGCUUGGGAAAAGGAAUGGAACCAUGUGGAGAUUAGAUAUCAAAUUGUGUUAAACCAUAUAAAAGAAAAAAGAGAACAAGGUUCAGUCAUUAAAGCAACUGGAAUCUAUAUAUUCAAAGAAGAAAGCAGUAUGGAGCAAGAUAUUCGAUUUGAUGAUCCAUAUCUCAGCAGUUCUGCAUCAGAAAACCCCUGGUUGCCACAAACCAUAGCUUUGGGGACACGCAAGUUUUCCAUAGCUUUUUUCUUAUUUUUUUCAUGUUUUUUAUUUUAUUAUUUUGGUUUCAGUUGUCAAAAAUGGACUUAACCCAAUGUACUUUCGACUCAUUUAUAUUCAUCUUUCACGACUUUAUGCAUUUUCUA